AGACUUUUUAAUAGGCUGGUCACACCCUGUGCAAGAGUCAGUUCCAGUCAGGACACAGCAUGGACAUGAUGGCCCCCGCUCAGCUCCUGGGGCUCCUGUUGCUCUGGCUCCCAGGUGCCAGAUGUGACAUCCAGAUGACCCAGUCUCCAUCCUCCCUGUCUGCAUCUGUAGGAGACAGAGUCACCAUCUCUUGCCAGGCAAGUCAGAACAUUUAUAGUAAUUUAGGUUGGUAUCAGCAGAAACCAGGGAAAGCCCCUAAGCUCCUGAUCUAUGCUGCAUCCACUUUGCAAAGUGGGGUCCCAUCAAGGUUCAGUGGCAGUGGAUCUGGGACAGAUUUCACUCUCACCAUCAGCAGUCUGCAGCCUGAAGAUGUUGCAACUUAUUACUGUCAGCAUGGUUAUAGUACCCCUCCCACAGUGUUACAAGUCAUAACAUAAACCCCCAAGGAAGCA